UCCAAAGGUUGAAUUUCUUUCUAGAAUAAAAAUCAAAGUUGGACUGGGGUUCAAUCUCUUUCCCUCUCUCAAAGAAAACAACGCUUCUCUCCUCUCAUCAGAAGAUUUUGGCUUCUUCUCCUUUCUUAGCAAAGAUUUGACCCCCUAUAUUUUAUAAUCAGAAAUUGUGUGACCAUUCUAAGAAAAUUUUCUGUAAACUCAAGCACUUUGACUGAAGAAUUCAAAUUCAUUUUCCAUACACAAUGAAGAUGACAGAGACUUGGUGGAGAUUUUCAGCACCUUUUGGACCUGCCGCUUUUAUACUCUUUAUCUGACAUUCUUCUAUCAAUCCUUACUCAUUAGAACCACACUUUAAGGGCUCGUUUUGGUCAGCCUCUACUGGUUUGGUUUAACCAUAAUAGAGGCGGCAACAUGCUCGUUUCAGAGUUUGACAAUCGUUCGAGGUUGCGGAGUAAAGGCCGGAGAUAGUAGACCUUGACGCGACCUCAGUUCCUGCACCACAAAAGGUCAGUAACCUCCAAUUCUUUCUUCAUGCUUUCCUAUAUUUGAAGAACUGAAAUAUCUUUUUGUAUGUAGUAAAAAAAAUUGAGAACUAUGAUCUGUUUUCUUUUUUCACGAUUUAAGAUUUGUCAGUUUGUAAAGCUAUUGAAGAAUGUGUUUUGACCAUGUAUUAAUCCAGUGAAAUAAAAAGUCGCUUAGGCACUCAUAUAAAUAUGUUAGCGUGUUUAAUUCCUUCCUGCUUUAUUCUCUAGAAAGCAUGUCCGUAAGAUUAAAUAUUAUUUAUGUAAUUUUCGUCAUCUAGAAACCAUUUCUAUAGGAUCCUAAUUUAAAUGUGUUUAUGCCCAACAUGUUAUCCUGAAUAUCUUCCCCUUCUUCUAGGAAUUGUGUAAAAGAAUGUAGACGUGUCGUGACUAUGUAUUGAUGGACUUUUAUAGCUUCCUGUUAAGUUGAGCUUCAUUUUUUCAGCAACGUGUAUGUUAGAGAUAAUGAAUUUCUUAAGAAUAAAUUUAGGAUAAGAUAAAACUUAAAAGCAACUGUUCAAAUGGAGUUGGUUCUAUGCACUCUUUAGAGAUUGUUGUAACUUAGCCCAUAACUUGUUUUUCUUCCCAUGAUUAUAGACAAAAAGACAAUUUGUUUAAUCAGUGUUAGUUUGGGGAGAGGACUUAUGGAUUGGCAUAAUGUAUGAUUAUUUAAAAUGUCAUAAAAGAAAAAUGCAUCUUGUUGCAGUAUCGACAUGCCUCCUUUCGUUUCUAUAAUACUAAUGCCAUGACAGUAGGCUUUCUUCUUGUUCAUAUAAACUAAAUGCCAUAACUAUAAGAUUUAAGGUACCUUGUAAUGAAAUAGUUUAUAAAAACACAUAUUAGUAUGAAAUUUGGUGCGUGCUUAUAGAUCUCUUUGCAAAUUUGGUGUCUUUUGUUAAUUUUUAAAGUAACUUUAAGGGGUUUAAAGUAUGUACUAUUAGAGUAAAUUUGUUCUAAUCCUAGAGUGUAUGGGAUUUUAUUUGAGUAGAGAAUCUUUUAACAAAGGAACACAUUUAAUAACCUUUCUGUUAAUAAGGUCCUAGCUAUGACAUUUUUGAGUUACUUUUCUAUAAUAACAAAAAAAAGAAGAAGAAACAUUCUGAUAAUACUAUGCUAGGCACUACAUCUUAAGAUCUUAUAUUUGCUUAAGAGUAGCGGGUCUCAAGAGUUCAAGAACUUGGAUAUGUUUUGAAGUGGUUAAUUUUGAUCUAUUUUCAUUUGAGAGAAGCAUCCCUUGAAGAAUAACUAGCACCGUUAAUCCUAAUGCUUAAAAUGAGAAAUGGGAAGUUUCUGUUUAUGUCUAGACGCAAGGAUAUGAAUCUGUUAGUAUGUGAACUCUAGACGUUGCAUAAUUUACGAUUCUUGUUGUUUUCCUUAUUCUCAUAUUACAUAACAAAGAAUGAAAUAUCCUUCUAAUUCUUUCUUUGCCCCCUUUUCUUUUGCAUAUACAUUUGGAGCAAAUCACGAGUUUUAAUACAAGACACACCCUACCGAGCAUGGAGUCACCACUGCAUCUUAGGCAUAUGGACAGCAAGAAAACAAGCAAAUUGCUUGGGGUCGCCUAUGGCAGCCUUCAUUAUUUACAUUUACUCUAUUUUGAAUUUUUAAUCAAUUUGAUUAUAUUACUUUGAUUAUUUUAGUUCUACAUUUAACCUGGGAUUAUUGAUUUAGUUUUGACUUCUUCACUUAGUA